rnacentral:misc_RNA from 1 species
GCGAAUUGCGAUAAGUAAUGUGAAUUGCAGAAUUCAGUGAAUCAUCGAAUCUUUGAACGCACCUUGCGCCCUCUGGUAUUCCGGAGGGCAUGCCCGGUUGAGUGUCAUGAAUAUCUCAACUCUAACAUUUUGUUAACGGUCUUAGGGGUGAAUCCUGUGGUCUAGCGAGGCUGCGGGUAGUAAUCCUUAGGACUAAAGUGUUAGAGAUUGGACUUGAGUUCUGUUGGCCCGCUGGGUUGACUGACUUGAAAUUGAUUAGCGAUGCGUGAUCCCAUGGGUCCAUCUCGGCGUGAUAAGUUGAUCGCUGCAAAGGAACCUAUGAGGGUGUGGCUUGCUUCUAAUCGUCUUAGGACAGCUUUGACAUUUACACCUCAACUCGGGUAGGACUACCCGCUGAACUUAAGC